UCCUUCGUGGUCCAAUGGCUAGGAUAGCUCGCUUUCACUGUGCAGAUGUAUCCGUACAUGAUCCGAGCCGGCCCGGGUUCGAUUCCCGGCGGGGGAA